rnacentral:tRNA from 1 species
CUCUUCAUAGCUCAACAGGAUAGAGCACCCGCCUCCUAAGCGGAUGAUUUGGGUUCGAGUCCCGAUGAGGAGACCA